GUGGACUUCGGGUCUAAGAUCCCAAACCAUUGUGAACGUACCCGUCAGCGUUGCCUCGGCGGGCGGCCCCUCCCUGGGGCCGCUGCCUCCCUCGGGGGGUGCCCGCCGGCGUACCAAAACUCUUUUGUAUUUUAGUGGCCUCUCUGAGAAAACAAGCAAAUAAGUUAAAACUUUCAACAACGGAUCUCUUGGUUCUGGCAUCGAUGAAGAACGCAGCGAAAUGCGAUAAGUAAUGUGAAUUGCAGAAUUCAGUGAAUCAUCGAAUCUUUGAACGCACAUUGCGCCCGCCAGUACUCUGGCGGGCAUGCCUGUUCGAGCGUCAUUUCAACCCUCAAGCCCUGCUUGGUGUUGGGGUCCUACGGCUGCCGUAGGCCCUGAAAGCUAGUGGCGGGCUCGCUAUAACUCCGAGCGUAGUAGUAAAAUAUCUCGCUAGGGAGGUGUCGCGGGUUCCGGCCGUGAAAGCCCAUCUUUUACACAAGGUUGACCUCGGAUCAGGUAGGAAUACCCGCUGAACUUAAGCAUAUCAAA
rnacentral:rRNA from 1 species